rnacentral:rRNA from 1 species
UACGAAGGGGGCUAGCGUUGUUCGGAAUUACUGGGCGUAAAGCGCACGUAGGCGGACUGGUAAGUUGGGGGUGAAAUCCCGGGGCUCAACCCCGGAAUUGCCUUCAAGACUGCAAGUCUGGAGGUCAGGAGAGGCGAGCGGAAUUCCGAGUGUAGAGGUGAAAUUCGUAGAUAUUCGGAGGAACACCAGUGGCGAAGGCGGCACGCUGGACUGAUACUGACGCUGAGGUGCGAAAGAGUGGGGAGCAAACAGG